rfam:Hordeum vulgare subsp. vulgare, WGS project CAJW01000000 data, contig: morex_contig_159784
AUCAUACUCCCUCCUCCGUCCGGAAUUACUUGUCACCAAAAUAAAAAGAAAUGAAUGUAUCUAGAAUUAAAAUAUGUCUAGAAUCAUCCAUUCCUAUGACAAGUAAUACCGGAUGGAGGGAGUAGUUA